rnacentral:rRNA from 1 species
GGGGAAUUUUCCGCAAUGGGCGAAAGCCUGACGGAGCAAUACCGCGUGAGGGAGGAAUGCCCUUGGGUUGUAAACCUCUUUUCUCAGGGAAGAAGAUCUGACGGUACCUGAGGAAUAAGUAUCGGCUAACUCCGUGCCAGCAGCCGCGGUAAUACGGAGGAUGCAAGCGUUAUCCGGAAUCAUUGGGCGUAAAGCGUCCGCAGGUGGUUUCCAAAGUCUGCUGUUAAAGACUGGAGCUCAACUCCGGAACGGCGGUGGAAACUUGGAAACUAGAGUUCGGUAGGGGUAGCAGGAACUCCCAGUGUAGCGGUGAAAUGCGUAGAUAUUGGGAAGAACAUCGGUGGCGAAGGCGUGCUACUGGACCGUAACUGACACUCAGGGACGAAAGCUAGGGGAGCGAAGGGGAUUAGAUACCCCUGUAGUCCUAGCUGUAAACGAUGGAAACUAGGUGUGGCUUG